UAGUCCACGCCGUAAACGAUGUCGACUUGGAGGUUGUUCCCUUGAGGAGUGGCUUCCGGAGCUAACGCGUUAAGUCGACCGCCUGGGGAGUACGGCCGCAAGGUUAAAACUCAAAUGAAUUGACGGGGGCCCGCACAAGCGGUGGAGCAUGUGGUUUAAUUCGAUGCAACGCGAAGAACCUUACCUACUCUUGACAUCCACGGAAUUUGGCAGAGAUGCCUUAGUGCCUUCGGGAACCGUGAGAC
rnacentral:rRNA from 1 species